GCGCUCUCAUCUGCAUUUCCGCCGGCGCGAAACCAGUGUAGCUUCCUAGUUGUGUGGCCUCGGUCUUUCACUGUCCCUCACCAUCGCACGCCAUCGCACACCAUCGCAACCCACCGCACAUCAUCGCUCGAAAUCUGCAGACAUCUUGAUUCUUCCCGCGCCGUCUGUCAGGUCUCCGCUGCCACUCGACGCCAGGGCGCCGGGUGAGUCCACGGCAGGGCGCGUGGUCUGUGCCACUCUCACCAUCGGGGAAAACUGAGGCCCCAGGGAAGGCGGCCAGAGAGGUCAUGCCCGGUCCCUGUUGCAGUGCCUCGUCCCCUUUGCUGGAGUGAGCCCCCUGGGAUUCGCGUGUCCUCGGAAAAGACACUGGCAGGCCUUGUGGGCUGUGCUGCUCCUCGGAGGGCUUCGCACCAGCCAGCGCCCCCUCCUGCAGCACUCUGAUCUGCACCCCCGAGGGGCGUCCACUGUCCGCGGGGUGAGAAUGACCCGGGAGUGUCACAUGACUGCUGCCCCAUGUGUGUGAGAGGUGUCCUCUGGGAGAGCAUGGAUUCUGAGGUCCCAGUAGAGUUGGGGUUUCACCAUAUUGGACAGGCUGGUCUGGAACUCCUGACUUCAGAUGAUCCACCUGCCUCGGCUCCCCAAAGUGCUGGGAUUACAGGCGUGAGCCACCGCGCCUGGCCAGUCCAGUCUUUGAGAAGAGCCCCAGGAUUCUCUAUUUCUGCCCAUGUUUGCCUUCCUUUCAGCUUCUGGCAGGGAGUGGAUUGUCAGCUGACCUCUGUCCUAUGGGCCCAGUGUUCCCAGGUGAUGUUUCUUCAAGAAGAGGCUGAACUGUGGUGCUUGUAAGAUGGGUCCGCUGUGUGCAGAGGCUCCAUGGGAUGUGUUGCCUUCAUAGCAGCAGGGCGCUGGACCAUGGGUCCCUAAGGUCUCAGCCUUAGAUCCAAGGACAGUCCAAGGAAGUCCUAAGACCAUGGAGUUGGUGACCUGGGAUCUGGGUUUGCUGAUAUUUCUCGCCAUGAAUCUCUUGGUGGUGUUUAUGGACACCAGAGGGGCAGAGAAUAGAGAGUGAGGCUACCACAUGCAGUGUCACCAGAGCUGCUCCCUGCUGCCUGCUCAGAGCACCCCGGAUCCGCUGUUCAAUCUGCACAAGAUUCGGGGUCCAGACAUGGGAGACUCAGCUGCCUCGGAGGACCAUGGACAGGGAAGGCCAGCCCCGCAUCCCUCUGGCCAUGCCUGGAGUGACUUUAAUAACCAAGAGUUUUAUUCUUGAAUUUGUAGCUGUCGUUCACUUUUUAUCCACCCAUUCAAUAAACCUUACAGAAUUGCUCCAUCUGCCUCUUAAAUCAGUGACAACCCGUGAGCCUGCAAGGCUGGCUUUGGAGAAGGUGAUGCCAAUGCUGCUGUUCAGAGGACCACGCUUUGAGAACCACUGACCUCACCCCCAAACCAGCUUGGAGAUGAUGCACCCUAUCCCAGUAUAAUAUUUUAGUCUUCAUAAUGGGUAGGCAGACCUGCUUUUUCCAAAAUAUCCUUGCAGCCAGCAGCCAGGUCCAUCCGUUUGUUCAUACAGUGGCAAGAUGUCCAACAACUCCCUAAGGAACUUAAUGAGCAACUUGGAUCCAAUUCUUCAUUGUCCAUCAGAGGAAAGGAAUCCAUGCUUGGCAAUGAGCCUUUGGAUGCUCUACCAGGCUCUGUGGCCAGAACAAAGCGCCUUGUUAUCUCCGUGACAAGGAACCUACUUUAUGGUGUUGGACAGAGCACCUAGCACAUCACAUUCUCCCAAAUAGCACAAACUCAUACCCAGUGAAACUGGGAGAGCAAUGGGUGGUCUUUCUACUCUCAGAAACCUGUUUAUUUCCAUCUUGAUGGUAUGGAGAGGGUGCUGUGUGUUCCACAUUGUGCAAAGGCCUGGGACGUGAUGGCCACUGUUCCCACUCACCCAUCUCAUCAGCGUGUUGUAGACACCUGCAGAGACCUACACUGAACUGAGCAUGCUGGGGAGUGGAGGGCGUCAAUGAUGAAAUGCAUCCAGAACCUGCUUCAAAGCCAGGCCUCUGACACAGCUGCAGACUAGAUGCAUAGUGAAGGCUCAGGAAGUGUCGGCCAUGAUUGUUUUAUUUUGUUGUGAGACGGAGUCUGGCUCUGUCACCCAGGCUGGAGUGCAGUGGUACGAUCUCAGCUCACUGCAACUUCUGCCUUCCGGGUUCAAGUGAUUCUCAUGCCUCAA